CUCUCCCUCAUUUAUUUCGAUGUAAGACAUUGAUGUUCAAUUAUUAAGUCUAAACUUUUUUUGUUUGUUCCAUAGUUUGUCUUUUUAAGUUAGAUGUAUGACAUGCACUAUGAAAUAUUUGAAUUUUCAACCAAAUAAACAAUAAAAUGCAGUGGUUAUUGGUUUUCUUUUUAAAUUCAUAAGUCAACUAUUCAGAGAAUGUUCAAUCUGUUACUCA